rnacentral:ncRNA from 1 species
GAGGGAAGGCCCCUCAAAGCCGGCUUGCAGGAGCAGGCUUUAAACCACCUCAAGCUGCAGGGGUUAAGAGCCGGUGUAGUGAGCGUUGAGGAAAAGGCAGGAAGAAACCUGUCAGG